AUACGUAGGGGGCGAGCGUUGUCCGGAAUGACUGGGCGUAAAGCGCGUGUAGGCGGCGCUGUAAGUCUGGCGUGAAAGUCCUGUUUUCAAGAUGGGAAUUGCUUUGGAUACUGCAGAGCUUGAGUGCGGAAGAGGUAAGUGGAAUUCCCAGUGUAGCGGUGAAAUGCGUAGAGAUUGGGAGGAACACCGAUGGCGAAGGCAGCUGCCUGGGACGUAACUGACGCUGAGGUGCGAAAGCGUGGGGAGCAAACAGGAUUAGAUCCCCUGGUAGUCCACGCCGUAAACGAUGUGUGCUAGUUGUAGGAGGAAUGGACCCCUUCUGUGCCGUAGUUAACACAAUAAGCACCCCGCCUGGGGAGUACGGCCGCAAGGUUGAAACUCAAAUGAAUUGACGGGG
rnacentral:rRNA from 1 species